rnacentral:rRNA from 1 species
AACCCCUCGAGAGUGGCGAACGGGUGAGUAAUAUAUCGGAACGUGCCCAGUCGUGGGGGAUAACGUAGCGAAAGUUACGCUAAUACCGCAUACGAUCUAAGGAUGAAAGCGGGGGACCGUAAGGCCUCGCGCGAUUGGAGCGGCCGAUAUCAGAUUAGGUAGUUGGUGGGGUAAAGGCUCACCAAGCCAACGAUCUGUAGCUGGUCUGAGAGGACGACCAGCCACACUGGAACUGAGACACGGUCCAGACUCCUACGGGAGGCAGCAGUGGGGAAUUUUGGACAAUGGACGCAAGUCUGAUCCAGCCAUUCCGCGUGCAGGAUGAAGGCCCUCGGGUUGUAAACUGCUUUUGUACGGAACGAAAAGGUUUCCAUUAAUACUGGGAGCUCAUGACGGUACCGUAAGAAUAAGCACCGGCUAACUACGUGCCAGCAGCCGCGGUAAUACGUAGGGUGCAAGCGUUAAUCGGAAUUACUGGGCGUAAAGCGUGCGCAGGCGGUUAUGUAAGACAGAAGUGAAAUCCCCGGGCUCAACCUGGGAACUGCCUUUGUGACUGCAUAGCUAGAGUACGGUAGAGGGGGAUGGAAUUCCGCGUGUAGCAGUGAAAUGCGUAAAUAUGCGGAGGAACACCGAUGGCGAAGGCAAUCCCCUGGACCUGUACUGACGCUCAUGCACGAAAGCGUGGGGAGCAAACAGGAUU